AAGAAGCGCGAUGGAGGGGGAUAACUACUGGAAACGGUAGCUAAUACCGCAUAACGUCGCAAGACCAAAGAGGGGGACCUUCGGGCCUCUUGCCAUCGGAUGUGCCCAGAUGGGAUUAGCUAGUAGGUGGGGUAACGGCUCACCUAGGCGACGAUCCCUAGCUGGUCUGAGAGGAUGACCAGCCACACUGGAACUGAGACACGGUCCAG
rnacentral:rRNA from 1 species